GGCUGGUUAACUCAGCUGAGUGUGGUGCUAAUAAUGCCAAGGUCAUGGGUUCAAUCCCCAUACUGGCCA
rnacentral:tRNA from 1 species